rnacentral:rRNA from 1 species
AAUUAAUUUUGGUUGUUGACAAUAGUUUAAAAAUAUAAGUUUUAGAAUUUACUAUUUUUAAAAAUUUGUUAAAAAUAAGCCUUUUCAAAAUUAGGUUGUAGGUAUAAUAAAAGAUUACCUAGCCCAAAAUUUUUAGCUGAUCUGAGAGGAACGUCAGCCACAUAGAUACUGGAACAAGGAUCUAAUUUCACUAGAAGUCAGCAGUGUGGAAUAUUGGGCAAUGGGCGAAAGCUUGACCCAGCUAUACCAAGUAUAUGAAGACAGCAUAAUUGCUGUAAAAUAUUUUUAAAAAAGAUCAUGAUGAGAUUAUUUUUUAAAAAAAGCUCCGGCAAAUUUCGUGCCAGCAGCCGCGGUAAUACGAGGGGAGCAAGCGUUAUUCGUCUUUACUGGGCAUAAAACGUUAGACGAUGGUUCUUGGGCUGUUAUUUUUAAAGCUUAAACUAACCUUUAAGGCGGAAAAUAAUACAGUAGAACUUUGAGUAUUGUAGAAGUUUUUAGAAUAUUAUAUUAUUGUUAAGGGG